UACUUGGGCAAUCUGCCCUCGAGAGGGAAACAACCGGCCGAAAGGCUGGCUAAUGUCCCAUAAGACCACAGGGAUGCAUAUUCCAGGGGUCAAAGCUCCGCAAGGGGCGCUUGAGGAGGAGCCCGAGUCCUAUCAUGGUAGUUGGUGAGGUAACGGCUCACCAAGCCUUUGACGGGUAGCCGGCCUGAAAGGGUGAUCGGCCACACUGGCACUGAGACACGGGCCAG
rnacentral:rRNA from 1 species